ACCCACCUUCUAGAGUGACUGUUUUACUAUGUUACUGUUCUUCUAAUCUUAUUGUUCUUCAUCUUGGCAAAAGAAAUGACCUGGCUAGUCCCUGGAAUAGCUUAAUAAUUCAGGUAUUGUUUCCUAGUGCCUUUGAAAUGUUUAACAGCAGGUUGCUUACUGAGAAUCUUUAUUUUGCCUUCUUGACAGUUUUCUAACUGCUCUCUUAUAAAUGUAAAUCAACAUAUGCGUAUAGUAGACAUUCCAGCAAGUUGAUACAGCCAUACCAUCCCACAAACAGGUAAUAUAGAGUAUAAAUAAAUCACUGCAAAUCAGCCACAUAUUCGUCACACUAUAUCUUAGAUGUUUCUGGUAGCUGAUACAUAAUAUUCCCUCCCCUUCCUCCCUGCAACUAUUUACGUGCAACAUAUUACUAAUUUACACUCCAAUAUUUGUAAAGUAUGUGUCUCCAUUAGGGUGUGUAUUAUACUGCCAGACAUGGUAUAUUGAGAGGAAUGAACUCAUUUGUAUGAAAUAAGAAUCAAUCAUAACCUUGAAUCAAAUCCAAACAAAACAUUUGUAAGAUUCAGGAAACUUUGGCUAACUUCAUUCUUGGCUAUUUCAUCUACCUCUGUAUUUUUAGCUAGUCUUUUUCAGUGUUAGUUUUGCUUGGGAGGGGAAUACGUUCAAUUUUCUGGAUUUUGACAUUGUUAAACAUUUAAAAUUUAGCAAAAAUGUCUUUAGGUUGAAUUAGAAUUUUAAAUUAUAAUAUUUUUCCUAUGAUGAACCGUGGUGAUGGAUAUAAGACAGAAAUGUACAUUCUAUAGCUCUUCUGUUGACUUUCAGGGCAUCAGAAAUGGAUCCUUGGAAUUUGGACUCUAUUUUGAAAGACACUUUAAAAUCUCUAAGCAGAUGGGCCUCAACUACUUGCUGCUAAUACAGACGGGAACUCAAGCUGCCUGUAUUCUUGGCUGCAUAUUGCUGCAGGGACAGGAUUAGGAUGAGAACGGUAACCUUGUAGGACGUCUUAUGGAGUCAAUGCUGGCCAUGACAGGUGCUGUGGGAGAAGGUGGUCUGUACUGAGCCCCUACUGACCUUUCAUUGGGAGAUAACACUAAAGGGAAGAAAAGGCUGAUCCCUGAGCCUUGUGUCUAGGUUAGAAGCCUGAAACUGGAAAAUAUAUGAAGUUAUGUCUGGUGUUUUGUUAUCUGUUGUUUUAGGAAGAGGUAUGAAUUUUGCCCUGAGAGAAAAAGAAUUGGGUUGAUGUCCCUUUGCCUCUAUGCACAGAGGUGACCUAGCAGUUACCAUGACAUCCGGAUUUAUUAACCUCAACCCCCAAAAUCCAGCCCACCUCUAGCAGUAAAGAGAUGGGAUUUUCUCUUACUGAAACUCUUUUAGUCUGGUCUUGUAAGGUUGCCUUUUUUUAAGGAGUAACCAAGCUCUCUGUUUAAUGUGUCUUUCAAUCAAUACUUGUGAGGGCAAGAGUCUCUAAGGCAUCCUUUGUUUAAAAAUGAACUGUUGGGUCUGCCUUUAAGCACUCAAGUUUUCUUAGUGUGCUUCAUCUGGAUCUCUCAAAAGAGACGUUUACGUGCCUUUGUAUGGUGGGGUCAACAUCAAGCAAAUUUCUGGUUUUCAAGGACUUUACAGUUAUACUGCAGGGCCUCUGAUAUGCUGCACUUUAUAUUGAUAGAAAUAUUUCAUAUGAUUGCAGUCCUGGACUUACUGCUCUUCAAUUUUCUCUUAAUAUUCUAGUUAGAGAUUUCAGUCUAUGUGAAAGUCAUAUUCUGGUUACUUACAGAAAUAUAUAUGAAAUAAGAUCUUCCCCAGAAUCUUCUAGUGCAAAGCAGUAAUGGUGGUAAACAGCCAAGAAGACACUUUGUCAAUGUCUUAUUUCUUAGUUUUUCUUUUCGUAGUGGUAGAAGUUUUUUUCUGUUUAUAAAAAGUUUACUUAGGCUGUAGGUGCAUGAAAAAAGAGGGAAUAACUGUGGUAUAAAACUGGAGCAGAUUAAAUGACUGGUCCUUUUAAACAAGAAGAAGUUGCAAAAUGAAAAACACACGGUUGGAAGACUGGCACAUGCCCCUCUGAUUCAUGAAGGGUACGUUUGUCAUAGUUGGGAUGGGGCUAAACUGCAUUCAGGGAUUGCCUGACAUGCUAGCAUUUUAGAAAUAUUGGCAAUACAUCAGAGGUUUGCUCAUUCCUGUGUCUAUGAACUGAAGGAGUUAAGAUACACAGGAUAUGUAGAUUGCCUUUGCUGCCUGAUGAAUAGACAAAUAAGAACCUUCUUUCAAAUCUAUGGAAUUUAAGUCUUCCAUGGAUUGUUUUCACAAAUGACCAAUAACAUUAUCAAUAUUUUAAAAGCUACUAAUAAAACAUUUUUUUAUCUAAAUUAAUCA
ensembl:lncRNA